UACGGGGGGGGCAAGCGUUGUUCGGAAUUACUGGGCGUAAAGGGCGCGUAGGCGGGUGGACAAGUCUCUCGUGAAAGCCCACGGCUCAACCGUGGAAUUGCGGGAGAUACUGUCUGUCUUGAGUCCGGGAGAGGAGGGUGGAAUUCCCAGUGUAGCGGUGAAAUUCGUAGAUAUUAGGAAGAACACCAGUGGCGAAGGCGGCUCACUGGUCCGGUACUGACGCUGAGGUGCGAAAGCGUGGGGAGCAAACAGG
rnacentral:rRNA from 1 species